AUGUGACAUGUCAUUGGUUCAAAAUAAAAGUGACUCAACAAUUAUUGUUACGAAUUUUCGUUUUCUUUUACUUUAUUCGUGUAUUAUUCAGGGUAAUGUGCUUAAUUAUUUUUAGUAUAAAUGCAUUGAGGACCGCCACGCCUACAAAUUUAUUGCAACAUCUGAAAAACGAAUACCAAAGGCUGUCUAAACUGAAACUACAACGCAAUACAAAUCUAUUCAUAAAAUAUUAAUUAUGUAAA